rnacentral:rRNA from 1 species
UUACGACUACAUAUCAGGCAUAUCAAUAAGCGGAGGAAAAGAAACUAACAAGGAUUCCCCUAGUAACGGCGAGUGAAGCGGGAAGAGCUCAAAUUUGAAAUCUUAAAGGGUUUCCCUUUACGAAUUGUAGUUUAAAGAAGUGUUUUCUGUUGGAGUUUCGGUAAAAGUUCUUUGGAAUAGGACAUCAUAGAGGGUGAGAAUCCCGUAUUUGACCGAUUACUUUUCAGCUGUGUGAUACACUUUCAAAGAGUCGGAUUGUUUGGGAAUGCAGUCCAAGAUGGGUGGUAAAUUUCAUCUAAAGCUAAAUAUUGGCGAGAGACCGAUAGCGAACAAGUACCGUGAGGGAAAGAUGAAAAGAACUUUGAAAAGAGAGUUAAACAGUACGUGAAAUUGUCAAAAGGGAAGCGUUUGACACCAGUGUUGUUUAGUUGAAAAUCAAUUCAAUAGUUUUUGAUUCUAAGUAGUAUUGACUUCAUCAGCUUGCUGCUUUCUUCUCAGAAAUUAUUGAAUGCACUUUUCAGUUAACAAGUCAACAUCAAUUUCUUUUGUUGUAAAAGGGUAAGAGGAAGGUGGCUUGCGCUUCGGCUCAAGUGUUUAUAGCCUUUUAUCUCUGCAAUCGGAGAGAUUGAGGUCUGCAGCGUAGAUCCUUCGGGGUUAGAUACAUUGGUGCUAAGCUAUAGCCUUGUAUAGACAACUUGUUGACUAUGCUCAGUCAUGUAGCUUACUCGCUGAUGCUAUUUUACCUACGCUUAGGAUGUUGAGUAGCGACAUACGCAC